GAUGAACGCUGGCGGCGUGCCUAAUACAUGCGAGUCGAGCGAACGGACGAGAAGCUUGCUUCUCUGAUGUUAGCGGCGGACGGGUGAGUAACACGUGGAUAACCUACCUAUAAGACUGGGAUAACUUCGGGAAACCGGAGCUAAUACCGGAUAAUAUUUUGAACCGCAUGGUUCAAAAGUGAAAGACGGUCUUGCUGUCACUUAUAGAUGGAUCCGCGCUGCAUUAGCUAGUUGGUAAGGUAACGGCUUACCAAGGCAACGAUGCAUAGCCGACCUGAGAGGGUGAUAGGCCACACUGGAACUGAGACACGGUCAAGACUCCUACGGGAGGCAGCAGUAGGGAAUCUUCCGCAAUGGGCGAAAGCCUGACGGAGCAACGCCGCGUGAGUGAUGAAGGUCUUCGGAUCGUAAAACUCUGUUAUUAGGGAAGAACAUAUGUGUAAGUAACUGUGCACAUCUUGACGGUACCUAAUCAGAAAGCCACGGCUAACUACGUG
rnacentral:rRNA from 1 species